AGGGUUGUGGGGCAACAUUUAUUUUCUUGAUAUUCUUGCAUCUCUCAGGAUACAGCAAUAAUUUUACAAUGGGUUCAAUGAAAACUAAGAUUUUCUAUAAAGAAUAAAACAGAUGAAGUGAAAGUGUAGUAGUUUUAUUAGAAUUUACUGACAGCCAUAAAGUUGUCAAUAAAAAGUUGUAUUUAAAUCAUAUUUUACUGCAACUAAUGUUUAAUUCUAAUGUCAUGCUAUAGCAAAAGUCUUUCUGCGGGCAUAUAUCAACGGCAUAAACCUGUGUGUUUAGCUAGCUAUCUAGCUAUCUAGCUAUCUCUUAAUGGUAGCGUUGGCGAUAGGGCAGUUUCCCAAACUUUUACAACCACGGCACACUUUUUCAUUCGAAAAAAUGUCACCGCCACAAAUAAUUAGUUAUGUUGCGACAAAAGAUGUUGUGAAAGUGCUAUAUAAAUAGUCCUAUUCAGAGAGAGAGAAAGAGUGCGAAGAGCGAGUGCAAGAGACAGCGAGAUUAUUAUAUAUAUUAUAUACAUCUAUAACAUCUCUCACGGCACAACAGUGUGCCAUGGCACAUUGGUUGGAAAACACUGAUAUAGAGACAAAAAAACAUCACCACUGCACAAUGAGCAAUGGUACGUUGACCUGUCAGGUUUUGAGGCUCCUCAUACAAUAGUGUUUUAUUGUACGACUUUUUGUUGAAAAAAAAAAUCCACAGAUUACAGUUGAGGAAGACGUGCAUUGCUACAAAAAUACAACAGACUCGCUCCCAUUCAUUUGAAUGAGCUGGUGAUCACGUGUACACUAAAUACAUUACUUGACAGCACCGGAUGUACCUCCCAACGGUUGCUAACACGGAAGUGUGAAGCGUCUGUCUCUCUGUCUCUCUGUCUCUCUGUCUCUCUGUCUCUCUGUCUCUCUGUCUCUCUGUCUCUCUGUCUCUCUGGCUCUCUGGCUCUCUGGCUCUCUGGCUCUCUGGCUCUCUGGCUCUCUGGCUCUCUGGCUCUCUGGCUCUCUGGCUCUCUGGCUCGCUCUUUCUCUCUUUCUCUCUCUCUCUCUCUCUUUCUCUCUCUCUUUCUCUCUCUCUUUCUCUCUCUCUUUCUCUCUCUCUUUCUCUCUCUCUUUUUCUCUCUCUUUUUCUCUCUGUUUUUCUCUCUCUUUUUCUCUUUUUCUCUUUCUCUCUUUCUCUCUUUCUCUCUCUUUUUCUCUUUUUCUCUUUCUCUUUCUCUUUCUCUUUCUCUUUCUCUUUCUCUCUCUUUCUCUCUCUCUCUUUCUCUUUCUUUCUCUCUCUUUCUCUCUCUCUUUCUCUCUCUCUUUCUCUCUUUUUCUCUCUCUCUUUUUCUCUUUUUCUCUCUCGCUCUCUUUUUCUCUCGCUCUCUUUUUCUCUCGCUCUCUUUUUCUCUCGCUCUCUUUUUCUCUCGCUCUCUUUUUCUCUCGCUCUCUUUUUCUUUCUCUCGCUCUCUCUUUCUCUCGCUCACACCGGGUACGAAAUGGCUGCGGCGCAGUUUAUCCGCGGAACACUGGCGCACUGCAACUCACAACGGCGGCAAUCAACUGCGUUGCGGCUCCGGAAAUCUCCAUUCACAAGAUCACGGGGGAACGCUGAAGAGUUGACUUCAGUCCUUGGUACACUCCCUACGCCAUCUAAUCUAUCUGUUAACUCCGUUAACUUCCUUCACAUCCUGCAUUGGGAUCCUGGGCCUGGAACCCCACCAGGUGUACAGUACACGGUCUUCUCAAGGAUCACAUGGUAUGUAGAACCAAAAGUGUCAAAAUGGACGCAUGCAUGGUGGACGCAGGCAUGGUGGACGCAGGCAUGGUGGACGCAGGCAUGGUGGACGCAGGCAUGGUGGACGCAGGCAUGGUGGACGCAGGCAUGGUGGACGCAGGCAUGGUGGACGCAGGCAUGGUGGACGCAGGCAUGGUGGACGCAGGCAUGGUGGACGCAGGCAUGGUGGACGCAGGUUAAGCGGUGAAAAGGUAAAAGAAGCACUGAAUGACUACACAACUGCAACGUCUUUACAGCUGAGGUUGGAUGAUUAUAAGUACUAUUUGACUGUCCAAGCAUUCUUCAAUGGAACCUGGUCUCCAGAGUCUGAAGAAAUCUCGUUCACUCCUUUUGAACAAACUCUGAUAGGUCCUCCAAAGGUAAUGGUGACUGACUGUGGCAACUGCAUUCUUAUCAACAUAUCCCUGCCCAAGGCUGACAAAAGCUCAGGAAUACCAAACAAUGACAUCCUGGCCUUCUACAAAGGAAAGUUCAGGGUCUUGUGGAAGAAAUCUAACAAAACUGAGGUUUGCAAAACUGAAGCCAGUAGUGUUAAAAUUGACAACUUGGAGACGGGCAAAGAGUACUGUGUUCAGAUUCAAACUGAAAUUACCAUGAAUAAUAAUACUAAGCCAUCAACCUGGGUAUGCACCUUCUCAAGUACGACUGCAGAUUUGAUCAGAGUACCUGUUCCCGGCACAUUGAUAGGUCUUGGGAUUUUUUGCAUUGGUGCCUUGAUGACAUUGACAUAUUGUCUGUACCACAAUGGAUUCGCUUCUAAAUUUCAAGCAACUCUUCCAAGAGCACUAAUUAUCCAUGCCAAAUCUCUGGCAGUAGAGGAAACGAGCCCUGAUUUCAUCUCAGUUUGCACAGAUACAUACAAACAGAAGUGCACUAUUGGCACAGCAUUAUAUCCUGCCCACAGAACCACAUGCUCAGGGAAGGAUGAGGGGGAAGUGGAUGAAGAGGAAGAAAAUGAAGGAAAUGAUUUCUACAUUAACAGAGAUGGUGAAACGUCCUCACAGGAAAGUUCCUGUCGUUAUUCUGGUGAUGUAUUAAGGACAAGUUUGACUGUGAGGUCACAGACUGAAGCAGAUGCAUCAAAGAUAUCAUCUGGGACUGUUUCAGCAGAGCUGGAUCAAUUCAAGACUGGAGUUGAAAAUUGCACUUUUUUGUUUCAGCAACCAGAAAUGGAAGUCAAGGAGCAACUCAUGUUUGAGUUGGAAGAGGAAAUUAAUGAGAAUACUGUCAGCGUGUCUGAAAAUGUCAACCUAUCAUCUGUGACUCUGACUGCUAUAACCAUAUGCGAGAAAGAACUUGUUGAUUCUUUGAGGCUUUCUGAACCUUUAAUGUUCAGAGACACAAAUGAAAUUUUGGCCCAUACAGACUUAAAUGACUUGACAUCAACGGUCUAUACAUGCUUUGGUGAAACUCGCUAUGAGAGUAAGUGUGAUGACGUUGAAACACAAGAUAGGUUGGACGAAGAACAAUUCUUAGGAUAUGUGCGACGCUGAUUUGCUUCUGCAACAUACAGUCAUAGAAACAAUUACUAGACACACAUGUUGCCUCAGUUACCUGUUCAUUUUUUUCAAAGUAGGCACUUUUUAACGGAGACAACUUUGCACAUCUUGGUAUUUUGUUCAAAUUUAUAUGUAUCACCUCAUUUUUGAAGGGGUACCAGGUAAAAAUAAAAAUGUUAAAAAGUUUUGCAAAAAUGGAAAUAAACAGAUAACAAAUAACAAACGUAUACAACAUACAUAACAUUCACACAAACAUUCUUGUCGUGAAAAUGAAGAAGUCUGAUUAAGAUGCUUCUUGGUUUGUUGCGGGGAUCUGGACGCUUCGGAAAAGUGGUAGGAGUGCAGUGAGCCCUCUAGCUCUUAAGCGGUGAUGGGAAGUUCUCCUGCCCCAGAAUGUGGAAGAUCUGCUGUGUCAUGAGUCUGACCAUGUCUCCAGAUUCUGCAAACUCAGGUACGCCAACAAAACAAAGGUUGUUACGUCGGCUGCGAUUUUCAAGAUCCUCAACUUUGUUUGUCCGACUCCAGUCGAUAAAUGCCGGUCAUGAGAUUGUUACGUUGUCCUCAUUAGAUGAGAUGUGUUGUUCAAGCAGAUCGAAUUGCUCAGACUGGGUGGAUAGUGAGCUUUGAAUCAUAUCCAAGCUGGUCUGGACUGUAUCAAUUUUAGUGUCCAGGUGAGGCAGCAUAUCAGCUCUCACCUGUUGAAUAGCAGCCAACACUGCCUGUAGCAUCAUUUGUUCCAGCCAUCGUACUAUAAGUAGUGCACAAAAUGUCCUGUUAGAUUAAGGCUCCGAUGUAGGUGGGAUUAGUUGAAUUGGAAAGUCGCUCAGGAUUCAGUACGCUAAUAUGGAAGCAGUUGGCAGACUCGAGCUUAAGACGUGCUCACUCUCGAUGCGGUCAUCUUGUUUCUCAUGCUUUUCAUUUUCUCAGUCAGCUUUAUGAUGUGGAUGAUGCUUUAUCACCAGAAUUACUUUCACUUUAUAGCUGAAUCUCUGAUGCCUGCAAGAACAAGACGAACGUCAUGGGACAGGGCACAGACCACCCCUUAAAAACCACCAUUGAUGGACACAUGUUUUGUGGCUGUGAACAACAUCAUCUACCGUUUUUUUCCGUGUAUAGUGCGCCCCCAUGUAUAGUACGCACCCCUAACAAUGGCAUGCUGAUGCUGGAAAAAAGCUUGUACCCAUGUAUAAUACGCACCCAAUUUUUAUGAAUUUUUUUAAAAAAAAAUUUUUUUUUUUUUUUUUUUUUUUUUUUUUUAAGUCCCAAAGAUCGUCACACACGCAGGGAGGCAAUGGGUCCCAUUUUUAAAGUCUUUGGUAUGGUCUUAACUAGGCUGGAUGUCAUUUUUUUUGUUGGCGUUGAUUUCUCCGACUGCCCCUAAACGCACCACCGCGCUCCGUGCGCACACGGCGGCUCUGUAUGGGAGAGACGUUGAAGAGGAAUAAAAACACCCUUGGAAACCAAAACUUGCCCCUCGUCGUGACUCGGAGCCGCAACAAAUGUUUCGGAUUUGUGUAGGGUACAUUGUGACAGACGGCAAACUAGCAGGUGAUCGAGCGAGCGUCUGAUACAAGAGCAUUGCGGUCGUAUGGAGCGUGUUUGAAAUGAACAGCAGAGACGAAAGGAACAAGGCAAAGUGUUGUGAAAUAAAAUAUUACCUGUAAUACGCAUUUUGUUAUUUGCUGAUUGAAACUGCUAAUUAAACUGUGAAUUGAAACUAAUAGGUGGAGAACUGAACUCUCGCUCUUUAUAUAGCUGACGUGUCUUGCGCAACCGUUCUGCGCAUCUGUAAUGGCGGCCUCCGUAUGACGUCCGGUCCGCGAUGGAGAUUAAAAAACAAACAAUAUUUGACAAUAACACACCAUCGAGGAUUGCACCAUCGCAUCAAACGAUGUGUCGUCAAUUAUGAAUUUUACUAAGUGUGUUGGGCAGGAUGGCUGAAUGCGAUGCGCGAUUGACAACAAACAAGAAGAAAGGUGAGUUUUAUUUCGGGGGAGAUUUGUCAUGUCUCGUCCCCAGUUUUGCUAUGUGUCUAGGUUGCCAUAGUUUCUGUUCGUGUCACCCCGCUCUUCCUGUGUCACCUCAAUCGAUGUAACGUGUUUUGUAUUUAAGUCCUGUCUGCCCCUCGCUCACCGUUGGAUCAUUGCAUGUGUUACUGUCAUUCUGUUCCUGUCUUUGGUAAUGUCACCCUGUCUUUUUGUUCCACGACUUUGUCGGUCAGUCCUGUUGUUGGUUCUGUUGUACCAUGACUUUAUUUAAAAAAAAAAAAAUAAUUAAAAAAUUUUUUCUUUGUACCCAUGUAUAAUACGCACCCCAGAUUUUAGGACAAUAAAUUAGUAAAAUAUUGCGCACUAUACACGGAAAAAAUUGGUACCUUAUGUGCACCAUCACAAGCUUGCGCACCCUGAGGCAGCAGUCAAGAGCAGUCUUAUCCGCAUUACACCAGAUGUCUGGAACAACCCCAGCCUUAUGGAGAAGACCAAGCUGCAUGUCUACCAAGCCUGCAUGCUCAGGACUCCCCUCUAUGGCAACAAGGCCUGCAACCAGAUGCGAGAGAGUGGAGGAAACUCCAGUUCCCACCAAAGAUACUGCCUCACAUUCAGCAAAUCUCGAAGGAUGAGGUACCGGACCAGGAGGCGCUGGUACAUGCCGGUAUAAUGAGCAUGGUGGCCAUCCUGAGAGAGGGAGGGAGACACUCGGCCACCUUUGCAGGAUGGACCUCUUGUAAGACAAACUGGCGAAGGCUACUCAACUGACCGGAUGCCCACGCCUCCACUAGGAUGUGUCCAAGUAGGACCUAAAGCAGUGUCGUAUCGAUGCCGAGGACUGCACGAGACGCAGUGUGUAAGAGGGUGAAAAAGCAAAACAUGAGGGCCUUGCUGAGAAAAAGUGCUAGGAGGAAGGAGAAGAGAGUGCAAGACAGAAUUAAACAAUGUUCAUUUAGACCAGCAGUGUCCAAACUACGGCCCGCGGGCCAACUGCGGCCCAUGGUCCAUUUUUUAUCGGCCCGCAGCAAGUUUUAAAUAUAUAAUUGAAAAUCGCCCUCACAUAAAACUUGCACUGGUGUGGUGUAAUUCUUAGUUUCAACACUAGGUGGAGCGCCAGUUUUCAACAAGGCAGGUUUUCCACUAAAUAAAAUUAAUAAAAGAAAACAUUUGCCACGAAAAAAAUGGGAGAACCAAAGAAACGCAAGAUAGCAGGUGAUGCAGAAAAUUUCAGAAACGGUGGGAAAAUAAAUAUUUCUUCAUAGAAGUCAAGGGGAAAUGUGUCUGAUUUGCCAAAAAACUGUUGCAGUGAUGAAAGACGCUAAUGUGCGAAGAAACUGAAAAAAGAUGAUGAGUCUGUUCGGCUCGGCAUACAUAUAUGAGCAAACGUUUUCUCUGUUAACUCUGAACAAAAGCACAUUGAGAACCAAAAUGACCAUCUGCAUGAUGUCCUUCGCAUCUCAACCAUCAAACUCACUCCUGACCUGCCAGCAAUCCUUCAGUCCAAAGCGCAGCAUCACUGCUCCCACUAAGUGCAACGCUGUUCCUAUUAAAGGGCUAUGAAGAGGGAUCACCAUCCUGACUAAGAGGCAAUCUAAGGCUGCUAUUUUGAAAAUGAGCUGCCAAUCCUUUUUGAAACAAAUAUAAAUACAUACAUUAAUGGAAAGUUGUGAUGUAGGUUUUUUUUUUUCCUUUAAGCAUAUUCAAUUAUUAAGCAUAAUUUACCUACAUUUGAAAUUUGAUUUUGUUAACUUUAAUACACUAGAGGUGAGGCAAUAAACCUCAUCUCUAGUGAGUGGCCCAGCCUUUCAUAUAUUUUUCUGCAUGUGGCCCUCCAUGAAAAAAGUUUGGACACUCCUGAUUUAGACCAAGUGUAAUAGAGACUGUCACUCACAGGUCGGGCUCUUCAGCCACUCCUGCAGGUGCCACUGAGCCAUUAAAACAGAUUUACUCCAUCUUCUCCUGGACGGAAAGAUGCUGACAACGUUCAUUUAAAAGAUGUGCAUUUUCAAGAGUUAAUACCGUUUUUUUCCCUGUAUAGUGCGCCCCCAUGUAUAAUACGCACCCUAAAAAUGGCAUGCUGAUGCUGGAAAAAAGCCUGUACCCAUGUAUAAUACGCACCCAAUUUUUAUGAAUUUUUUUUAAAUUCUAUUUUUUUUUUUUUUUUUUUAAGUCCCAAUGAUCGUCACACACGCAGGGAGGCAAUGGGUCCCAUUUUUAUAGUCUUUGGUAUGGUCUUAACUAGGCUGGAUGUAAUUUUUUUUGUUGGCGUUGAUUUCUCCGACUGCCCGUAAACGCACCACCGCGCUCCGUGCGCGCACGGGACAGCAAACGAGCAGGUGAUCGAGCAAGCGUCUGAUACGAGAGCAUUGCGGUCGCAUGGAGCGUGUUUCCUACAGGUAACUGGGGGUACACAUUAAAAACAAACUGGACUAGACCGACAACACCGAGGCUCUUAUCAAGAAGGGGCAGAGCAGGAUGUUUUUCCUGAGAAGGCUGAGGUUGUUUAAUGUUUCUAAUAGGCUACUGAGAACGUUUUACCAGUCAGUAGUCUCCGGUGUCCUGUUCUUUGCUGUGGCCUGCUGGGGAGACAACAUCUGUGCCAAGGACACUACCAGGCUGAACAAGCGGGUGAAGAAAGCCAGCUCGGUGGUGGGGACCGGGUUGGACAGCCUGGAGGUCGUGGCUGAACAGAGGAUGAGGGUAAAAACUGGCGGCCAUGUUGGCCAAUCCCUCCCAUCCACUGUACAUCGAGCUGACAGUGAUGAGGAGCAAAUUCAGCGACAUAUUUGUCCUCCCCCGUCAGAGCACACAGAGAUUUGGACAGUCGUUUAUUCGAGCUGCACUCCGACUCUACAACCAGGCCCUGCCGGCAUGGGGAGACCGGGAGCUAGAGUUGAUAGGCUAACUGACUUGGGACUUUUAUUUGCACAUGAUGCAUUUUAGAAAACUUCCAGCUUGCAUUGCAUAUUUAUUGGACCAGCAGUGUGUUUAUAUUUUACAUUGUCAACUCUGUUUUUCUGUUUGUCUUCCUCUUUUUAAACGUCAUGAGCUGUUUGACAACUGACAACUGAUUUUCCCCAGAAGUGACAAUAAAGGUUUCAAUCAAUCAA